GGAAAAUCCUGCCCUCGCCUUGCCCCAGUCCACACAGCCAGAAACAGAGCAGCACCAGCACCCCACUGGAAGACAGCAUCCCCAAGAGGCCAGUGUCGUCCAUCCCUCUCACCGGAGACAGCCAGACGGACUCGGACAUCAUCGCCUUCAUCAAGGCCAGACAGAGCAUUCUGCAGAAGCAAUCUUCUCCACCAGCCGUGUGCAGUUUGGGCAGGAAGAGGUUUGUGCAUGGAUGGAGCGCCGCAACUGAGAGCCGGCCUUGGUCCUGUACUCGCCUUGCUUGGCCG
rnacentral:lncRNA from 1 species